AGAUUAUACCAUCAAGUGCUACUUUUGUAGCAACAAACCGCAGGGAUUUAGGUUGCAUUUGAAAUCUCAGUCUUAUGACGCGAUCCAACCCUUCAUACCAGAAGUGGCCAACGGGUCCAACAAAUGCAAAGCCGAACAAGCUCGUUGUGGCAACUCGUCUCCAGUUGAUUGUAAAUUCUUUAUUUUCAUUAGAAUGAAGAUGAUGGUGUUUCUUUGCUGUAUAAUGAGUGACGGCUUGAGCAGAUACGUCGCCGAGACCCCAUAUAAGACCGGAGCUGAU
rnacentral:misc_RNA from 1 species